rnacentral:ncRNA from 1 species
GCAGAGUAGGAAUUUGCGCGUUAAGUGUCAUGCAGACGGGGAGUUGCUGCGUGGACGAAAAGGUUUCUUGCGGUGCAGAUUUCGCAUCCCGCUGC